AUGAGAAAUGGGGUAACUUAUCGUAGACAUACAGAAAUGAAAAUAAAGCUAUGCACAGAGAAAAGUACUAUGAUCCAUCCAUCAUUGUUGGUUCACCAUUCUAAAGGAAAUAGACAAAGUGGUGCAUCUAGGAGGAAGGGAUCUAGAGACGACGAUGGACAAAACAAUCCUGCAGAGGCAGCAAGAGGCAGUUCUCGACAAAUCACUAUAAGCGCAAGGAUCCAAUGGAAGAAUUUGGUGAAGAACAAGGUCUCCAUCAUUUGGCGUCAAGGAAAGGAAGACCAUGUCAUCAUUUGGCCAGUGCAGGUCCCCAUGCCCCUGUAUCUGCCCUCGAAGCCGGGUUCCGCGAGCUAA
rnacentral:rRNA from 1 species